GGGGGUUUGGGGUCACUGGUUUGUACUGGGAAUGGACUGGGAGGGGGUUUGGGGUCACUGGUUUGUACUGGUUUGGACUGGGAGGGGGUUUGGGGUCACUGGUCCAUACUGGCUUGUACUGGUUUGUACUGGUCCAUACUGGUUUAUACUGGUCCAUACUGGUUUAUACUGGUUUAUACUGGUUCCAGGUGCGUCACGUGGCCACGGCCGCUCUCCUCUGGGCACUGGUCCAUACUGGUUUAUACUGGUUUAUACUGGUUUCUAUGGGUUUUACUGGUCCAUACUGGUUUAUACUGGUCCAUACUGGUCCGUACUGGUUUAUACUGGUCUGUACUGGUUUCCAGGUGCGUCACGUGGCCACGGCCGCUCUCCUCUGGGCACUGGUCCAUACUGGUUUAUACUGGUUUAUACUGGUUUCUAUGGGUUUUACUGGUCCAUACUGGUUUAUACUGGUCCAUACUGGUCCGUACUGGUUUAUACUGGUCUGUACUGGU